rnacentral:rRNA from 1 species
CCUACGGGGUGCAGCAGUGGGGAAUAUUGCACAAUGGGGGAAACCCUGAUGCAGCGACGCCGCGUGAGUGAAGAAGUAAUUCGUUAUGUAAAGCUCUAUCAGCAGGGAAGAAAAUGACGGUACCUGAGUAAGAAGCCCCGGCUAACUACGUGCCAGCAGCCGCGGUAAUACGUAGGGGGCAAGCGUUAUCCGGAUUUACUGGGUGGAAAGGGAGCGUAGACGGCAGUGCAAGUCUGGAGUGAAAGGCGGGGGCUCAACCCCCGGACUGCUCUGGAAACUGUACGGCUGGAGUGCAGGAGAGGUAAGUGGAAUUCCUAGUGUAGCGGUGAAAUGCGUAGAUAUUAGGAGGAACACCAGUGGCGAAGGCGGCUUACUGGACUGUAACUGACGUUGAGGCUCGAAAGCGUGGGGAGCAAACAGGAUUAGAUACCCUUGUAGUC